GGAAGACAGGAGCUCAAAAAGGAGUAAUCUCUCACACUGUGUGUUUUCAAGUAUAGAAAGAGCAAAACACCCUGUGGGCAGUUAAGGCUGGGAAGAAUCUCACUGGGCCUCACAGGCAGUUUGUGCUCCAGUCACACAUGCUUUCAACCCACUGCAAACCUCUCACUUGAUCAUUCAAAAAGCAAUUCCAAAGGACCCUUAAGGAAUUGGUACCCAUGGCAUGGUGUAAUUUAGAUAGUAUUUCUAACCCAAAUUGCUUUUCAUACUUCUUCAUUAACCAUUUAUUGACCACCUACAACGGCUCGAGCAUCAUGCUAUCAUCAUAUCAUUUCAGAAGCCAUUUCUCUCUGGGCAUUGUCAAUCGUUUUGCCUUAUGACUACAAUGAGCAACUCUGAUCAUGGAAGCAAGCUCUUGAGAAGACCAAUUUGAUCUGCCAAGUGUUUUAUUUCUCAUUCCUCCCACCCUACGUCUGGUGCCCCCAUGACUACCCUGUGUUUCUCUCUGGCUUUUCUUUGACACACUGCCUUAACCCACUGUCAAUGGGACAAGCGAUAUCGUGAAGGAAUCUGACUUGGAGAGGCAGAGAAAGAUGUGCACUCCACUGACCAGUCCCAUUUCUUGGCCAGGAGUGUCAGGCUGCCCACAAAAGAUAGCUUCAUGCAGGACUCAGCCAGGAGGAAAUGACAUUUUCAGCCUCCUGUCUAGUUACUCAACCAGAAGAUUUCCUUUUAUCAGAAAUCUUCUCUCCAGCGGUUCAGUGUCCUGAGUGUAAGAGGUAAAUGAAGAAGAGAGACAGCAUCAAAUGUUCAUAAAAUGGAACCCAUUUCCUUGCUUCAGCUUGCUGCUGUGAACAAUAGGAUCCACUCUGCACAGAGAAUCUGUGAGCUCUGAGGAUCUGAAAAGGCCACCCACUCAAACUACAAAUACCAUUACCCGAGCUGCCCACCCCCGACCCCAUCACCACCACUGUGGCCCCCAGUUGACAAGACUUCUUGAGCUCUCCAUUUCCAAAAGGGGAAGGCUGGGCAGUGACAACAUUUUAGUCUUCUUUUAUGGGAUCUGUGUGCUGUAGCUUGACAUACAACACGUGGUAAGCAGUAAGCAUAGAGAUUAGGAAUGGAGAUUUAGGGACUAGACUGCUUAUAGUCGUACCCCAGCUCAGUCAAGGUUGUAGCUGUGUAAUCUGGGACAAAUUACUUAACCUCUCUGUGCCUCAGUUUCUUCAUCUUUUAAAAAGAAGGCAAUAAUAGUGCUUAACUCAAGGUUGUUGUGAGGAUUAAAUGGCUUAAUUUAUGUAGAGCACUUAGAACAUAGACUAUAAUAGUUCUCAAAAAAUCAUAGUUAUUAAUAUUUCACUGUGACAUGUUUCUCUUCUACAGGCAUUUAUUGUCUACCGUGUUAGUUUCUUUUUGUUCUUUUUUUAAAGGUAUGCUUUUUUUUUGGUGAGGAAGAUUGGCCCUGAGCUAACAUCUAUUGCCAAUCUUCCUCUAUUUUUUUCUCCCCAAAGCCCCAGUACACAGUUGUAUAUCCUAGCGGUAAGUCAUUCUGGUUCUUCUAUGUGGGAUGCUGCUGCAGCAUGGCAUGAUGAGCAGUGCAUAGUCCACACCCAGGAUCCGAACCAGCGAACCCCAGGCCGCCCAAGUGGAGCAUGUGAACUUAACCAUUCUGCCAUGAGGCCAGCCCCUGGUGUUAGUUUCUUAUUGCCUCCAUAACAAAUUACUACAAUUUUUAUGCUGGCAGGGCUGCAUUCCUUCUGGAGGCUCUGGGGAGAACCUGUUUCCUUGCCUUUGCUAGUUUCCAUAGCUGUAUUCCUUGCAUUCUUUGGUUUAUGGCUUCUUCUUUCAUCUUCAAAGUUAGUGGCAUAUCAUCUUCAAAUCUGUCUCUGCUUCCAUCACCACAUUGCCUUCUGUCUGACUCUUCUGUGGUCAAAUUUCCCUCUGUCUCCCUCAUAUAAGCAUAGUUGUUAUUACAUUUAGGACCCACCUAGAUAGCCCAGGAUAAUCUAACUGUCUCAAGGCACUUCAUUUAAUCAUAUCUGCAAAAUGCCUUUACCAUAUAAGGUAAUAUUCACAAUUCUGGGGAUUAAGACCUGGAUAUCUUUUGGGGUCAGUAUUUAGCCUACCAUACUCACUCAGUGCCAAAUAGUUGGCUCAACACUGUACAUAAUUCUCUCAUUUAGUCUGCAUAGAAACCCUUUGAAGAAGUUGUUUUAAUCCCCAUUGUUGAGAUGAGAACACUAAGGCAUUAAAUGUUUUAAGCCAGGUAUCCAGUAACUGGCAACAUCAG
rnacentral:lncRNA from 1 species